AUAAAAAAAUGCCCUGCUGAAUAGUUCAGCAGGGCCCUUCUAUGUCUAUAUCAGACAGAAGGCAAAGGGAGAGGAGAAACUGGAGAAAGAACUCAUGGGGAAUAUAAGUCUUCUCCGUGA
rfam:Bacillus sp. FJAT-27231 Scaffold1, whole genome shotgun sequence.